UAUUGCACAAUGGGCGCAAGCCUGAUGCAGCCAUGCCGCGUGUAUGAAGAAGGCCUUCGGGUUGUAAAGUACUUUCAGCGGGGAGGAAGGCGAUGAGGUUAAUAACCUCGUCAAUUGACGUUACCCGCAGAAGAAGCACCGGCUAACUCCGUGCCAGCAGCCGCGGUAAUACGGAGGGUGCAAGCGUUAAUCGGAAUUACUGGGCGUAAAGCGCACGCAGGCGGUCUGUCAAGUCGGAUGUGAAAUCCCCGGGCUCAACCUGGGAACUGCAUUCGAAACUGGCAGGCUAGAGUCUUGUAGAGGGGGGUAGAAUUCCAGGUGUAGCGGUGAAAUGCGUAAAGAUCUGGAGGAAUACCGGUGGCGAAGGCGGCCCCCUGGACAAAGACUGACGCUCAGGUGCGAAAGCGUGGGGAGCAAACAGGAUUAAAUACCCUGGUAGUCCACGCCGUAAACGAUGUCGACUUGGAGGUUGUGCCCUUGAGGCGUGGCUUCCGGAGCUAACGCGUUAAGUCGACCGCCUGGGGAGUACGGCCGCAAGGUUAAAACUCAAAUGAAUUGACGGGGGCCCGCACAAGCGGUGGAGCAUGUGGUUUAAUUCGAUGCAACGCGAAGAACCUUACCUGG
rnacentral:rRNA from 1 species